rnacentral:rRNA from 1 species
GACGGAGGAUGCAAGUGUUAUCCGGAAUCACUGGGCGUAAAGCGUCUGUAGGUGGUUUAAUAAGUCAACUAUUAAAUCUUGAGGCUCAACCUCAAAAUCGCAGUCGAAACUAUUAGGCUAGAGUAUAGUAGGGGUAAAGGGAAUUUCCAGUGGAGCGGUGAAAUGCGUAGAGAUUGGAAAGAACACCGAUGGCGAAGGCACUUUACUGGGCUAUUACUAACACUCAGAGACGAAAGCUAGGGUAGCAAAUGGG